rnacentral:rRNA from 1 species
AAUCAACGCUGGCGGCGUGCCUCAGACAUGCAAGUCGAACGAAAAGUUUCCUUCGGGAGACGAGUACAGUGGCGUCCGGGUGAGUAACACGUGGGUAAUUUACCUUUGGGUGGGGAAUAGCAGCCGGAAACGGCUAUUAAUACCGCAUAAUGCAGCGGCUCGACAUCGAGACAGUUGUUAAAGCGGGGAUCUGACAAGGACCUCGCGCCUAAAGAGAAGCCUGCGUCAGANAGCUAGUUGGUAGGGUAAUGGCCUACCAAGGCUGUGAUCUGUAGCCGGCCUGAGAGGGCGGUCGGCCACACUGACACUGACACACGGGUCAGACUCCUACGGGAGGCAGCAGUCGGGAAUUUUGGGCAAUGGGCGCAAGCCUGACCCAGCAACGCCGCGUGGAAGGA